GGGCUAAAGAGACUCUAGAUUCAACCUGUAAAGAAUUUGAGCAUUGGAUGAAGGGUGUGUGUGUGUGUGUGUGUGUGUGUGUCUGUGUGUGUGUCUGUGUGUUUGAGAGAGAGAGAGAGAGAGACUCAAUAGUGUCUGACUCAUUUGUGACCCCAUAAUCAGUAGCCUGCCAGGCUCCUCUAUCCAUGCAAUUUUCCCAGCAAGAAUACUGGAGCAGGUUGCCAUAUCCUCCGCCAGGGUAUCUUCCAGACCCAGGGAUGGAACACUUGUCUCCUGCAUCUCCUGCAGUGGCAAGUGGAUCCUUUACCACUUGUGCCAUCUGGAAAGCCACCAACGCAUCCAUUACAGAGGGGUUCCCUGUGCAAGAAUUCCUGCAAAUGUAGCUGCAAGGAUCAAACGUGGAUGACUCAUUUGACGUGAAAACGGAGCUAGGAAGCUUGAAAACAGGGACAGUCUGAGACAGUGAGACGUCCCGCGCGUGGGUCUGUGGCAACGUAGGAGGAAUCGCAGGACCAAAGACCCUGAAGCGACUUGAGCUCGGUUCAGAGAGUUAAGCGAAAUUCACCUCAGCCCAGGACGCUGCGCAUUUGGACUGGAUGCGGUCUCGAAAAAGCCCGGAGAGACUCCGGUUUGCUGGGGCUGUGUGCAGGCGCGUCUGGUCGCUCUGCCUGCUGCCUCUACAAUUCGAUUUCAGGCCCCCUUUACCCCCUCGGCAUUAUUUUUCUGACGACUUGAGAGGGAAAAAAAAAAAAAAAAACCUAUAUAAGAAACUCGAGAAGAGACUCUGGGAUGUAGAAUCGCACACGUGGCCCUGCAAACUGGAUGGGAGGGUGGGGGAGGUGGGGAGGAGAGAAGUGAAACUAGAAAUGAUGGUACUGCUUUAGAAUUCGAGAAUCUCCCUUCUUCUCUCCCAAUACAUAUCCGUUUUUGGUUCUUCACAGCUGCCCUUAUCCAAUAGGUGUGGAAGAACGACCGCGACGCAUCUACGGACGUAAAUGUUGGAGCAGCCCACGCUGUGGGGAUUUUUCCGGGGAACCUCAGAAACGGAUGCUGUUCCCGAGGCUGUUUCUAAGUAGGAGUAGAUUAUUUCCCCCCAAAGACUAUGAACAGCUCCUUUGUCCAAAUCCGAGACACAGAAAUGCAUAGCUUCCCUCAAAGAGGACGUUAGAACCUCAUUUAUUUAGAGAGUCCCGAAGCCCUCGAGUAUCAGAGAAGUAAAGAUGAAAAGAUACCUUUAGGAUAUGUUCUGGGUGGCUAAACAGGUAGGCAGAAGAUAAAGAGAGUGGUUUUCUUCUGGAAGCUGUUUUGCUUCAGAAUUUACCGUCUUCUUGCUAAAAGUAUACAUAAUUGUUAACAGAAUUAAAAGACAAACUUUUGCCCAUAUAGAUGCGCCAUUUGAUCAAUAAAACCGAACACUAACUUCCUUUGGGAAGGAAAGAUAAAUCAAAGUGCUACCGCUGAUAUCUCAAUCAAGAUUUAAGAAAAAUUUCUCCCUCCCUAAGAUAGUUCAGUGUUGUUUUUCUUUUCUAACAUGAGUUCAGUUGAACAAAAGAUGUUAAGAUUGUAACGAAAACUCUGCAUGAUGUAAAUGUUCAAAGAAAGAAAUUCUAGAUUGAUUAUAUUCUGGGACCGCAAUUAUUACUAGAUAUCACUAAAACAGGAAUCAGAG
ensembl:lncRNA